GUGAGAGAGAAAAGAUGAAGGAGAGAUCCAUCAUUUUCCAAAGGAUCCUCCCACGCUUAAGUUGGCGCAUGAGGCACUAACGAGGAAGAAGAAAAUAAGAAGAUGGAAUAUUGAUAUAAAUGGGAUUAAAAGACAAAGGCCAAAUCCCUCGGGAGUUGAGAGCGGAAGGGAAUGAAAAGAUAGUAGUAGAAAUGGUGGAUACAGUGCAUGAUGGAAGCAGCUACACUAUCAUUUUCUUUCUUCCUGUAUGUAUGUAUGUAUGU